AGCUUUGUGCAGUGGCAGUAUUGUAGCCAAAGAGGUUUAUCCAAGGUGCAAUUAUUGCCAAUUGAAAACUUUUCCCAACAUCCUGGUGGGAAAAUUUGAAAUAUAAAAGAUUAU
ensembl:snRNA U4 U4 spliceosomal RNA